UGUCGUCAGCUCGUGUUGUGAAAUGUUGGGUUAAGUCCCGCAACGAGCGCAACCCUUAUCCUUUGUUGCCAGCGGUCCGGCCGGGAACUCAAAGGAGACUGCCAGUGAUAAACUGGAGGAAGGUGGGGAUGACGUCAAGUCAUCAUGGCCCUUACGACCAGGGCUACACACGUGCUACAAUGGCGCAUACAAAGAGAAGCGACCUCGCGAGAGCAAGCGGACCUCAUAAAGUGCGUCGUAGUCCGGAUUGGAGUCUGCAACUCGACUCCAUGAAGUCGGAAUCGCUAGUAAUCGUGGAUCAGAAUGCCACGGUGAAUACGUUCCCGGGCCUUGUACACACCGCCCGUCACACCAUGGGAGUGGGUUGCAAAAG
rnacentral:rRNA from 1 species